rnacentral:rRNA from 1 species
UCUAAGGCUGAUGGCGACCGGCGCACGGGUGAGUAACACGUAUCCAACCUGCCGAUAACUCGGGGAUAGCCUUUCGAAAGAAAGAUUAAUACCCGAUGGUAUAAUAAAACCGCAUGGUUUAAUUAUUAAAGAAUUUCGGUUAUCGAUGGGGAUGCGUUCCAUUAGGCAGUUGGUGAGGUAACGGCUCGCCAAACCUUCGAUGGAUAGGGGUUCUGAGAGGAAGGUCCCCCACAUUGGAACUGAGACACGGUCCAA